GAUGAACGCUGGCGGCGUGCCUAAUACAUGCAAGUCGAGCGAACGGACGAGAAGCUUGCUUCUCUGAUGUUAGCGGCGGACGGGUGAGUAACACGUGGAUAACCUACCUAUAAGACUGGGAUAACUUCGGGAAACCGGAGCUAAUACCGGAUAAUAUUUUGAACCGCAUGGUUCAAAAGUGAAAGACGGUCUUGCUGUCACUUAUAGAUGGAUACCGGCUGCAUUGGAUAGUUGGUAAGGUAAAGGCUUACCAAGGCAACGAUGCAUAGCCGACGUGAUAGGGGGGUCGGCCACACUGGAACUGGGACACGGACCUGAGUCCUACGGGAGGCAGCAGUAGGGUAUCUUCCGCAGUGGGCGAGAGUCUGACGGAGCAACGCCGCGUGAGAGAUGAAGGUCUUCGGAUCGUAAAACUCUGUUAUGAGGGAAGAACAUAUGUGUAAGUAACUGUGCACAUCUUGACGGUAACUAAUCAGAAAGCCACGGCUAACUACGUG
rnacentral:rRNA from 1 species